rnacentral:rRNA from 1 species
GACAGAGGGUGCAAACGUUGUUCGGAAUUACUGGGCGUAAAGCGCGUGUAGGCGGCAAGGCAAGUCGGAUGUGAAAGCCCAUGGCUCAACCGUGGAAGUGCACCCGAAACUGCCUCGCUAGAGUCUCGGAGAGGAAGGUGGAAUGCUUGGUGUAGAGGUGAAAUUCGUAGAUAUCAAGCGGAACACCGGUGGCGAAGGCGGCCUUCUGGACGAUGACUGACGCUGAGACGCGAAAGCGUGGGGAGCAAACAGG